rnacentral:rRNA from 1 species
AACCUGCGGAAGGAUCAUUGUCGAAACCUGCACAGCAGAACGACCCGCGAACACGUUGAAAAACACAUUAGGGGGGUCGUGGGUUCGGGAUAAGGGCGACAGCCCCCCUGCCCAUGGCCCCUUUGCUUGCGGCGCCGAAGUGAGCGAGCGAAAGCGAGCAUACUUCGUCUCCCAAGAAACUAACCCCGACGCAAUCCGCGUCAAGGAAAACAUUUAACUCGAGGGCGUGCUGUUGUCCCGUCGCCCCCGUUCGCGGGUGAGCGCGCGGGCUGACGACCGCUUCUUAGUGAAAAACAAAAACGACUCUCGGCAACGGAUAUCUUGGCUCUCGCAUCGAUGAAGAACGUAGCGAAAUGCGAUACUUGGUGUGAAUUGCAGAAUCCCGUGAACCAUCGAGUCUUUGAACGCAAGUUGCGCCCGAAGCCUUUAGGCCGAGGGCACGUCUGCAUGGGCGUCACGCAUCGCGUCGCCCCUCCAAACAUUGUGCACCUAGAGUGCUCUCUCGCUUGGUGGGAGCGGAUAUUGGCCUCCCGUGCCUUGCGGCGCGGCUGGCUCAAACUUGAGUCCCCUGCGUAGGACGCACGACAAGUGGUGGUUGAUAACAAGGCCUUCGCGUCCCGUCGUGCGGCUAUCCUCCGUGGGAUUUGACUCGUCAUAAGUGACCCUGACGACGCACCUUCGCGAUCCUCCACAUAGUGGGGGUCGAUGAUGGUUGUGCUCCGACCGCGACCCCAUGUCAGGCGGGACUACCCGCUGAAUUUAAGCAUAUCAAUAG